rnacentral:rRNA from 1 species
UACGGAGAGUGCAAGCAUUAAUCGGAAUUAUUGGGCGUAAAGGGCGCGUAGGCGGCUUAUCAAGUCAGAUGUGAAAUUCCGAAGCUCAACUUCGGAGCUGCAUUUGAAACUGGUAGACUAGAGGAUUGGCGGAGAAAACGGAAUUCCACGUGUAGCGGUGAAAUGCGUAGAUAUGUGGAAGAACACCUGUGGCGAAAGCGGUUUUCUAGCUAAUACCUGACGCUGAGGCGCGAGAGCAAGGGGAG